AUGCUUCAUGAAGAGCGUGAGCGCCAGCUUGGGCGCCACCGGGUGUCCCUGGACGACGUCGACGCGGUAGCGGCGGAGGAUGGAGGCGGCGGCGAACUUCAUCUGGUAGUAGGCGAAGUCCUUGCCGAGGCAGAGGCGCGGGCCGCCGUUGAAGGCGGUGAACUUGUAGGCGGACUCGCCCAUGAAGCGGUCGUCCUUGAGCCACCGCUCCGGCCUGUACUCCCUGCAGUCCUCCCCCCAGAUGCUCUCCAUCCUCCCCAUGGAGUACAUGGCGUAGAUCACCUUGGUGCCCUUCUUCAGCACCGUGCCGUCGGGGAACACCUCGUCCUCCACAACCUGAUGGAUGGACGGAUCAUGAGAAAAUUAUGUACGGGUUAUCAUGGUGACAUGCUAACUUGUUGA
rnacentral:rRNA from 1 species